ACCUUUCCCUAACGUGUCGAUCAACCCAAUUGUCAACAUAUGAGCCUCAGCUUCCCAAAUCUUUUCUUCUACGGAAACCAUGGGGAUAUACUUCUUAAAUUUCGUGUCCAUCCGCAUUGCUAUAGCGGGAGAGAAUACAAGUAUGAUCGAUAGGGCUCUGGGGUAUUUCUAACAUGUCUUUCUGCCGGUUCUUGGUAUCUCAUCCUAUUCGGGCUGAUUUCUUCUGGUUCUACGUGGUUCAACACUCGUCGAGGAAAUUCGAGCCAUCUCUUCCAUAAACACACCUAGAUGCAUAAGAAAGGGAGAAAGAACAAACACUGGAAGAAAAAGGGACAAACAAUAUGAGUUAUAUUGAAUGGGAAAUAUAAAUAUUUAACCAAUAUAAGCGGCGCUUGUGUAUCAUUCAUCGUCAAAAAACACAUAAAUGCUAAGAAAAAUAUUGGAAAUUGAUUUGGCCCG
rnacentral:sRNA from 2 species